UACGUAGGGCGCAAGCGUUGUCCGGAAUUAUUGGGCGUAAAGAGCUCGUAGGCGGCUUGUCACGUCGGUUGUGAAAGCCCGGGGCUUAACCCCGGGUCUGCAGUCGAUACGGGCAGGCGUAGAGUGUGGUAGGGGAGAUCGAAUUCCUGGUGUAGCGGUGAAAUGCGCAGAUAUCAGGAGGAACACCGGUGGCGAAGGCGGAUCUCUGGGCCAUUACUGACGCUGAGGAGCGAAAGCGUGGGGAGCGAACAGG
rnacentral:rRNA from 1 species